CUGGCCUACACCAUGACGAAACAGGCCUCCAGCACCAAGGGAGACUGGCAAGACUUGGCCGUGGGCCAACUCCGAUACUAGAAGGAGUCUGAGGUGAAGACGGGACAUCUGGAAACUGGCAUGGAGUCAAUGGAAUAAGGCAAACAAGUAUUGAGGUCAUGGAACCUAUACAGAUAGAAGAGGAGGAGGUGCUUGCUACCUUGAGAUCCUAGGAUACAGAUCUUGUCUUGCCUAUACUGGAGUGACCGCCGGCGCUGGGCUAUAAACGUGCAGGAGUAAUGUGUGGCUAAGUGCCUUGCUCAGGAACACACCACGCUGCGUGGUGCUGAAGCUCGAACCAUUCAUCCCCUUGACAUCCCAGUCCAUCGCUAAAGCAGGCAAUGAAAUCAAAGAUCCCCACAACCUGGGACGUUCACCUUUCACACCCACCCCAGUCCGGGAGAAGACACAACAGCCAAAAAGCCCCACGACAAAAGCGAGGAGCCCCAGGACAAAAGCGAGGAGCCCCAGGAAGCGAGGCGAGAUCAGGG